UAGUCCACGCCCUAAACGAUGCUUACUCGGCAUUGGCGAUAUACUGUCAGUGCCUGAGGGAAACCGAUAAGUAAGCCACCUGGGGAGUACGUUCGCAAGAAUGAAACUCAAAGGAAUUGACGGGGGUCCGCACAAGCGGUGGAGUAUGUGGUUUAAUUCGAUGAUACGCGAGGAACCUUACCUAGGCUGGAAUUGCAUUUGCCGACAUUUGAAAGGGUGUUUUCACUUCGGUGACGAAUGUGAAGGUGCUGCAUGGUUGUCGUCAGCUCGUGCCGUGAGGUGUUGGGUUAAGUCCCGCAACGAGCGCAACCCCUAUCUAUAGUUGCCAACAGGUUAAGCUGGGGACUCUAUAGAGACUGCCUGUGCAAGCAGAGAGGAAGGCGGGGAUGACGUCAAAUCAUCAUGGCCUUUAUGCCUAGGGCUACACACGUACUACAAUGGUGACUACAACGGGUAGCGAGGUAGCGAUACCGAGCCAAUCUCUAAAAGGUCAUCUCAGUUCGG
rnacentral:rRNA from 1 species